rnacentral:rRNA from 1 species
GGAUGAACGCUCGCGGGUUUACAUAAUACAUGCAAGUCGAGCGAACGGACGAGAAGCUUGCUUCUCUGAUGUUAGCGGCGGACGGGUGAGUAACACGUGGAUAACCUACCUAUAAGACUGGGAUAACUUCGGGAAACCGGAGCUAAUACCGGAUAAUAUUUUGAACCGCAUGGUUCAAAAGUGAAGGACGGUCUUGCUGUCACCUAUAGAUGGAUCCGCGCUGCAUUAGCUAGUUGGUAAGGUAACGGCUUACCUUUGUGCAACGAUGCAUAGCCGACCUGAAGGGUGAUCGGCCACACUGGAACUGAGACACGGUCCAGACUCCUACGGGAGGCAGCAGUAGGGAAUCUUCCGCAAUGGGCGAAAGCCUGACGGAGCAACGCCGCGUGAGUGAUGAAGGUCUUCGGAUCGUAAACUCUGUUAUUAGGGAAGAACAUAUGUGUAACGUAACUGUGCACAUCUUGACGGUACCUAAUCCAGAAAGCCACGGCUAACUACGUGCCAGCAGCCGCGGUAAUACGUAGGUGGCAAGCGUUAUCCGGAAUUCAUAGGCGCGUACAGCGCGCGUAGGCAGGCAACUAAGUCUGAUGUCGAAAGCCCAGGAUCAACCGUGGAGGGCCAUUGGAAACCUGGACAAACUUCGCAUCGCCAAACCAGGACACGUAUGGGAAUACCCAUGGUGUAACAGCGGCUAGCACAAUCGGCGGCAAGAAAGAUACUCGGGACGGAAACACCCGAUUGGCCCGCAAAUGGCGCACCAUUUCCGGAGUCAGGUGCAACUGGAACGCAGUGCCAUCCUGGACACACAAGCAGCAGAGGUGAACCCAAACGGAGAUUCAAA